UCCAAUUUGCACCUCAACUGCAACUCUUCCCACACCUGCCAAAAGAAAAGAAGUCCCUAACUUGUCAGCCCAAUUUUCCUAUUGGGUGGGUGAAGAAUCUAUUCAUUUUAUUAGAAAAGAAGGAGACCUGGAGUCGUCUGAAUAUGGCUGAAAGUCAUGACAACAAUCCAAUUAAUUCAGCUACGCAUCAAGGGCGAACGCCCGCGCUAACCACGUCGGAGCUGGACCAGUGCGCUCACGCGAGAGCAAAGGGCUUUGCUGCAUAUCUCUCCCGCAGAUAACGCCUACCUAGGCUAAAUUUGCAGUCGCAGAUUUUUUUUCACGCACGCGUCAUCCCUCUCUCAGUCUCUCUCGUUUCCUCUCCCCCAGCUCUAGGGUUCCCAGCCCCACUGCACCGCUGCCACAACCCACAACCCCUCGCAGUCUCCCUUCCAAUUCACCUUCUCUCCUCCCGUCAUGGCACUGGAUCAUUCCCCCAGCUUCUUCGUGCGCAGCCGCCGGCCUUGUCCUCUUCACCGACGGGAGGAGGCGAGUAGCAGCCGCACCAGGCGGCCAGCAAGAAAGACGGCCGGGCAUGGCUCCACCUCUCCCAUCCUCGGAUGUGGGCGGAGUCGGCGGUUGGGGGCGAGCGCCAGACAGGCAGAGGGAGCGCCCUGGUCGAGGGAUACUAGUGGUGGGGGUUCCACCAACCGCGGAGGAGGAGGAAGAAGGGGCGAUGGGCGAGUACUGCGCCGCGGCGGCGGCGGCGGAGGGGGAGCAGCCGGUCGCGGAGUCCGUGCUGCCGCUGCCACCGCCGCUAGCCAGGUACCUGUACGGAGACUAUGACCGCUGCUCCACCAAGCAGGUCUCUUCGAGAACCUCCACGGCAGCAUCUCCUUCGACCCGACAGAACAAAAGGGCCAUUGUUAAAUGAGAUCCCUUGUUAAAUUGGUCUAAGCGGCAAGAUAAUUACAGGGUUAACAGAGGGAAUUGUUCACCUGCAUAAGCACUCCAGGUUCUGGCUUGUCCAUAGAGACUUGAAACCACAUAAUGUCCUCUUGGAUUGUAACAUGAUCCCAAAGAUUGCUGAUUUUGGAUCAUCUAGAGCACUGCGUUCAGAUGUAGCAGAGGAGCGCACGAGUAGGGUCAUUGGAACCAGUGGUUACAAAGCUUCGAAGUAUGCAUCUCGAGGAGUUUACUCGAUGAAGACAGAUGUGUUCAACUUUGGCGUUUUGGUUCUGGUGAUUAUUAGUGGCCGAAAGAAUACCAUAAUCGACAAGCGAGGGGAUAUUGUUGGUGAUCUUGUACGAGAAGUGAGACAAGACUGGCAUAUGUGGAAGGAGCAAAGGUUGCAUGAGCUUGUGGAUCCAUUCUUAGCGGGUGGAUAUAAAGUCGCUGAGAUAAGAAAAUGCUCUCAUGUGGCAAUGCCUUGUGCUCAGGAAGAUCCAGCAGACUAGCCCACCAUGACAGAUGUUGCUGCAAUGCUAAACUCUAAAAGCAUAAGCUUAGCAAUCGAGCCUAAGCAGCCCGCUGUGCUGAUCCAUGGGUGUGCCGACUAUAUAAGAUCGGUUGCAAGACUGUACAGUGUGUAUUCAAAUGAGGCUAGAGGUUAAUCCAAUUGGGUGAUACGAUUCAUGGAGUUGAUUUCUUUGACAUACUAAACAGGGCUAUGACAGAACAUGCUAUGUGAUUCCCUGAGGCAGGAUGGAUGUACCAUGGCCACCCCACUGUGUUCCUGAAGGUGAUCCCUUCAAUUCAGCGCACGUCCUACCAUGCCACACCAUGGUCGUUGCAGCACCUGCAGAGCCCCCCUAUGGAACAUGCUUUACUGUCCAUUGGGUCACGUUAUUGUCUUGCCAUGCAUGGCUUUGUGGUCCAUUGAUUCGCAGCGAUGCUCUCAGAUGUGCUUCCACCCCACGUAUCUGCCAAAGUCCAUGAUAUGAGAAGUUGCUCACGGUUCAUGGUUAGGAUUCGCCGACGCAGGCUUCGAAGAUGACGGCUCCGUCGGCUUCACCGACCUGGGAGCUACUUUGGGCGGCGUGGGGUGGUAAUUCGGUGUAGUUACGGAAGGCUACGUAUGGGAGGCGUCGGGUGGAAGUAUGCGAUCUAUGCCGUGAAAAGCUUCGUAUUUAUAGGGGAUUCUCUAACAACCGAUCACAAGGAAAUAUUGGUAAUUUGGGAUCUCACGAAGAGGUAGUUUUAGAUCACGUAAUGUUUAUUUAUAGGGGAUUAUCUAACAACCGACCACAAGGAAAUAUUGGGAAUUUGGGAUCUCACGAAGAGGUAGUUUUAGAUCACGUAAUGUUUUUUAGCUAGUUUUUUUAUUUUGAGAAAUUUGUAGCAAGUUUAGAUCAGUAAUCUCAACCGUGAAGCAUUUGGGCUUCUUGUGAUUUCUUACACGGGCCUAUUAUAAUGGGAUGAGCCCAUUUUAAAUGUGAACAUGAGAAAGGAAGCUAGGACUCCAACAGCCGCGACGAGCCUCGUCCCAAUUAUUUAGAACGGGCAUGCGCGAGGGCGCUUCGUCCUCACUGCCACAACUCUCCAAAAACGGUUCCUCUGCCUCUGCGUCCUCUCGAUUCCCUCUUCCUCUGCGUCGCCCACUCUCCCAACAAUCUGCCUUCUGGAACGGUGAGUUAUCCUUCCUGUCAAUAAUGUUAGUAGUUCUCCAGUAGCAGCACAUACGAUGGCCUUCUUCUUGUCAAUUUCUUGUUCUCCUGCUUCUUUAUUUUGUGCGCACAGAUUCAUCUGCCUGCAAAAUGUAGUCUGUUGCCUUAUGAGAAUUUUGCACACAGAUUCAUCUGCAUGCAACAUUUAAUCUGUUGUCUUGUCAAUUUGUUGUUUUUCUCUUGCUUCUUUAGUUUGUACACACAGUUUCAUCUGCAUGGCCGAUGAACAAUUCAUAGAUACAUGUUUAUUCUUGAUUGUUGAUGCAGUUGUUUAGAUAAAUAUUUCAAGAGCAUAAAUUUUGAUUGUUAAUUCGCAUAUACUCCCUCUGCAAGGAAAUAUAACAACUUUUGGUUCACUACUUUAGUGAUUUCUUUACAGAGGGAGUACUUGUUUAGUUUAAAUUGUUCAUGCACUUGUUUACAUAAACUUUCAAUAGCGCCAGAAUUACUAUACUAUCUGCCAUCAUAUUCAUCUCGGCUUAUUGUUAUCAUGUUAUUGUCAUGCUUCAUGUCUUAUACUGGUUUCAUCAAUUAAAGUCCUUCGGCAUGGCGUUCGAGAAAGAUUAUGCUGCUAGGGCAGAUGGAAAUACCGAAAUUUUUGUGAAGUACACGAACAAGGGUAGCUGUGUUGAGUACUGCAUUGGCAGAUUCAAAUACAGGCUGCGAACGACGACCGGAAGAUAGUUGCACUGGAUGUGGAGUACACCUGGCCUCGCGGUCCCACACAGAUGGCUGACGUGGUCCAGUUAUGCGUUGGCAUCUAGGUCCUCGUGUACCACAUAAGUGUUGCUGAUGAGCACUGUGGCCUGCUUGCCACCUUCCUGCUCGACGAGGAGUACACCUUUGUUGGGGUGGACAUCAACAAUGACGAGAAAAAACUCAAGCUUGUUGGUCUGGUGUUACAAAACUUUGUGGAUAUCCAGAAUGUGUGGAGAGUGCCUGAUCGAGUGACGAUUAAGCCAAAGUAUGGCUUGGCUGACUACGCUGGUUCCAUCAUCCACCACAGCUACAACAAGAUGAAGGAUGCUAUCACAGAAGAUGACCACCAUAUAUGGGCAGAAGCGCCCUUGCCCUUGAAGAACAUCUAUUAUGCUUCCAUGGACGCGUAUGCCACCUACGAUGUAUACAGGCGCUUGGUGAACUUCCAGAAGGGGUUUGAGAGUCAGCGCCAGCAUCACGCCAAACCAUCUAGGCGGUCAAAGAAGUCCGGAAGCAAGAAUGAAUCAACCUAAAAUGUUUCUUCUAUUUAUCUAGCUGAUAGUCUGUAAACUUUAUUAUACUGCUUGUAAGUCAUAAGUUCAAAUUUCCUGCAAGUUGAAUCAUCCUUUA